rnacentral:rRNA from 1 species
CCCCUAGAUGUUCUGGGCCGCACGCGCGCUACACUGAACAGUUCAACAAGUCUUAACCUUGGCCGAUAGGUCUGGGUAAUCUUUGAACGCUGUUCGUGAUUGGGAUAGACCUUUGCAAUUAUGGGUCUUCAACGAGGAAUUCCUAGUAAACGCAAGUCAUCAGCUUGCAUUGAUUACGUCCCUGCCCUUUGUACACACCGCCCGUCGCACCUACCGAUUGAAUGGUCCGGUGAAAUCUUCGGAUCUGAGAGAUGUUGGAUUAAUUUCUGACGCCUUUUGGAAAAGUCGCUUAAACCUUAUCAUUUAGAGGAAGGUGAANUCGUAACA